AGAAACAACUUGGUUCAGCUAAUACAAACUUUGAAUGCACAAAAGAAUGUUAUUAAAAGGCACGGUAUCAAAGUUGAUGGCAAGACCUAUCAAGUGAAGUUUACAGUUACCAUUGACUACAAAGCCCUCCUGCUCCUCCUCAGGAAGAAAGAUGAUGAUAAGUAUGUCCUCGGAGGCAAAGGUUAUGGUACUGAAUUUUGUGCUUUCUGUGAUGCCAUAAGGGCAUGCACACAACAUGGGGCAGAUAUAGAUGAGACAUGCGUAGACUGUCUGAGAUCAAAAGCAAAUAUAGGAAGGU